rnacentral:rRNA from 1 species
UUAAAGGUACCCGUACCGCAAACCGACACAGGUGGGUGAGGAGAGUAUCCUAAGGCCCGCGAGAGAACUGUUGUUAAGGAACUCGGCAAAAUGACCCCGUAACGUAGGGAUAAGGGGUGCCACCAUCUGGUGGCCGCAGAGAAUAGGCCCAAGCGACUGUUUACCAAAAACAUAGGUUUCUGCUAAGUCGCAAGACGAUGUAUAGGAGCUGACGCCUGCCCGGUGCUGGAA